GACGAACGCUGGCGGCGUGCUUAACACAUGCAAGUCGAACGGAAAGGCCCUGCUUUUGUGGGGUGCUCGAGUGGCGAACGGGUGAGUAACACGUGAGUAACCUGCCCUUGACUUUGGGAUAACUUCAGGAAACUGGGGCUAAUACCGGAUAGGAGCUCCUGCUGCAUGGUGGGGGUUGGAAAGUUUCGGCGGUUGGGGAUGGACUCGCGGCUUAUCAGCUUGUUGGUGGGGUAGUGGCUUACCAAGGCUUUGACGGGUAGCCGGCCUGAGAGGGUGACCGGCCACAUUGGGCCUGAGAUACGGCCCAGACUCCUACGGUAGGCAGCAGUGGGGAAUAUUGCACAAUGGGCGGAAGCCUGAUGCAGCAACGCCGCGUGCGGGAUGACGGCCUUCGGGUUGUAAACCGCUUUCGCCUGUGACGAAGCGUGAGUGACGGUAAUGGGUAAAGAAGCACCGGCUAACUACGUG
rnacentral:rRNA from 1 species